rnacentral:rRNA from 1 species
AGUGAACGCUGGCGGUAUGCCUAACACAUGCAAGUCGAACGGCAGCACAGUAAGGGCUUGCUCUUACGGGUGGCGAGUGGCGGACGGGUGAGGAAUACAUCGGAAUCUACUUUUUCGUGGGGGAUAACGUAGGGAAACUUACGCUAAUACCGCAUACGACCUACGGGUGAAAUCAGGGGAUCUUCGGACCUUUCGCGAUUGAAUGAGCCGAUGUCGGAUUAGCUAGUUGGCGGGGUAAAGUCCCACCAAGGCGACGAUCCGUAGCUGGUCUGAGAGGAUGAUCAGCCACACUGGAACUGAGACACGGUCCAGACUCCUACGGGAGGCAGCAGUGGGGAAUAUUGGACAAUGGGCGAAAGCCUGAUCCAGCCAUACCGCGUGGGUGAAGAAGGCCUUCGGGUUGUAAAGCCCUUUUGUUGGGAAAGAAAAGCAGCAGGUUAAUACCCCGCUGUUCUGACGGUACCCAAAGAAUAAGCACCGGCUAACUUCGUG